rnacentral:tRNA from 1 species
GGUGGCUCAGUGGCAGAGCGCUUGCCUUACAUGCAUGAAGCCCUGGGUUCGAUUCCUCAGCACCU